rnacentral:rRNA from 1 species
UUAGGCAUUAGUUGAGCAGACUCACACGAAAAGUUAACCGCCUGGGGAGUGCGGUCGCAAGACUAAAACUCAAAGGAAUUGACGUGGACCCGCACAACCCAUGGAUGAUGUCGCUUAAUUUGAUGCAACGAGAAAAACGUUACCUACCCUCGACAUGUAAGGAAUCCCGAAGAGAUUUGGGAGUGCUCUCAAGAGAGCCGGAACACAGGUGCUGCAAGGGUGUUGUCAGCUCGGGUCGUGAGAUGUUGGGGUAAAUUCCGCAACGAGCGCAACCCUUGUCAUUAGUUGGUACGCAAGAGCACUUUAAUGAGACUGCCGGUGACAAACCGGAGGAAGGUGGGGAGGAGGUGAAGUCCUCAUGGCCUUUAUGGCUAGGGCUUCGCGGGUCAUACAAUGGUCGGGACAGAGGGUCGCCAGCCCGCGAGGCGGAGCCAAUCUCAGAAACCCGAUAAUACUCCGGCUGGCAGUAUCCAAGUCGACUGCGUGAAGUCGGAAUCGUUGAUAAUCUCGUAUCAGAAUAUCAGCAAGAAUACGUUGCCGGGUUUUGUGCACACCGCCCGUCACACCAUGGGAGCCGGGUUCACCGGAAGUAGGUAGCGCAACCGUAAGGAGGCGCUUACUCAGCGAUGGAUCCAAAGGGCU